rnacentral:rRNA from 1 species
ACGUAGGAUGCGAGCGUUGUCCGGAAUCAUUGGGCGUAAAGAGUUCGUAGGCGGCAUGUCAAGUCUGGUGUUAAAGCCCGGGGCUCAACCCCGGUUUCGCACCGGAUACUGGCAAGCUAGAGUGCAGAAGAGGCAAGGGGAAUUCCCAGUGGGGCGGUGGAUUGCGGGGAUGUGGGGGGGAGGACCGAGGGCGUGAGGGCCUAGUUGGGUUGUUUCUUCCGCUGGGGAACGUAAGUCGUUGGUUAUGGUGG